GGAAUUAAGAGUGCUGUGGUACAGAGAAGCAGUGAAUCACUGGGAAGAAAGGGGAAGCUUUGUUUCAAAACAAGGGUAACAUCUAUUUUAAUCUACUUUCCAAAGCCAAGAAAAAACAUGAACAUUUGAAAAUGAUUCCCAGGGUGGAAAUAACUUUUUAAUGAUUUCUUUUUUUUUUUUUUCAAAAUACAAGACUUGAAGUACCUGAAUUUUUUUUUAAGUAUAAAAGGCAGGAGAUCAACUGUUAAACGUGUAAGUACUAUGUUGAGCUUCCAAAUGUGGAUGUUGAGUCUGUAGUCUUUAAAAGAAUGAUCUUUUAAAUGACAGUAAGGUAAGAUCAAAUGAAUGUGUUAAACUCCUUAUACUUUCUAUGAAAUCUAUGGAAAGUAAAAAUAUUAUAUAUUUUCACCAUUAUAAAAUACCAACAUUAGACCUUUAGAAAUUUAUACUGAAAUGAUACCUUUUUUGUGUCCUUGAAAAAUGCAUGUUUAUAACUUUUAAUUUAUGUUUAGAUUUAUUUAUUACCAAGAUCAUGAAGAAUUUAUAUUGUGAGGAAUCAAUUCUCAAAAAAUAAGAAUCAAAUUUUCUAUCCUUAUAGCAAUGUUAAGUGCAAGAAUAAAUGAAAAAACACAUUUUAAAGAACAUCACAAUUUUUUCACAUGUAUAAGAUAUGUUAUAGAAUCUUAGUUAUGAACAGAUUAAUAGGAAAAUUAUACAGAUUAAAUAUCUCUCAAGAAUGUAUCUUUUUAAUAUUACUCAUGAUAAAAUACAACUGAAUUACAAAUACCAAAUUUGUCUACUAAUUCGAGUUAUUAAGAAUACUAUAUUUGCAGAAUACGUUCAUGAUAGAGACAUAAUUCACAGAGAUAAAGUUUUUAAAUAAGUAAUCUAUGCAUGAUGACAGCAAAAUUAAUUAAAAAUCCAUUAGUUGGCUACUAUAUACUGUUAAUGUAAUGAAGCUAGGUAUCCUAUACCUUGUGUUACUUAUAAGAAUUGUAAAGUUCAUUCCUUUUGGAAUCUUUCUCUUUGGAACUAGAAAUAAAUUUUUAGCUAGAUUUCUGUUUUAUUCCUUCUUUUGUUGUGAUUUGUGCUUUCCUAAAGUAAAAGAUCAAAACAAGUACUUGCUAUAUACAAUCUUCAAUUUAAACUUUUGAGUGGCAGUCAGGAAUAGUUUUCAAAAGUUUCUGGUACAUUUCUGACUUUAGAAACCUGGGAUAGGAAUCCAUUGCCAUAUGCAUAUAUACUAUUUUCUGAGCCUCUUCAAAACAUGUUUGAGUGGGUUCCUGAAUGUUCCUGAUGAUAGUUUCUCUUGUUGAAUUGUCAAUGUUAAUCUGAAAAGGGAAAUUACAUGUAGAGCGUUAAGUAAGCACAAUUAAACAUGGACACGUAAAACGGGAAGGUUUCAUUUAUUCCCCCCUCCUUUUUAGUCCAGUAGGUAAUUUUGCUCACAGUGUUCAUAGAUAUCUAAAAAGAUUUAGCAGAGAUAUUUUUUUUUUUUUUUGCUUUUUAAAAGUAAAUAUCCACCUUCACAUCCCAAAGGAAUAAAGAAGCCACCUGGCCUAAGACCACAGGAGUCUCAGAAACCACACUCUACUUAGGAGGAUGCUGGUGGCUUUUUAGUGGAUGUCUGCAAACGAGGAAGCUUAUGAAACCAAGGCCUCUUUUUAAGGAAAGGGGAAGUUGGUUCUAUUUUAAAAUCUAUCUUCCUUAUUAGUUACAAAGAUUGUUUUCACUGAAUAUGCCCUGAAAUGGGAAGAAGGUGAGAAGAGGAGAAAUGGAGGGCAGAAGUGGUUGUCUAAGUAAACCAAAAAAAAUUUCCAAAUAAGAAUUUCAGAGAAUAAGUUACCAUCGUCUGUUCUUUUCCCUCAAUAGGAAUGUUCAUUUUUCAUUGUCUGCUAGGAAAAGUCUCAGUGAAUCUGUUUCAUUCACUGUAAAUGACUGGUGGUAAUCACAACGUGGAUGUUUGCUGGGUCUGUUGGUUUUAUGCGAAGGUGAACAGUAAUCUCUGGUGUGGUGGUGGAUUGCCACUGGGAUGUGCACAUGCCUAUUUAUGGCAUUUGUAGUUUCUGUUGGCAAGGACACUUUUUUUUUUUCUUUUUAACCUUCCUGGGAAUUAAGAUCAUCUAAUGAGAAACUUUGGAGCCAGACUGCCUAAGUUUGAAUACUAACAUUACCACUGUAAUGACACUGGGCAAGUUCGUUAACUUUACAAAUUCUUUUUUUUUUAAUCUAUAAAAUAAGGUUAGUAAUAUCAAAUUUAUAACAUAUUAGGAGAUACUGGGAUGUAAAGUGCCUGGCAUGUAUGGAUGAUUAACAGAUAUUAGUGUCAAAAGAUGCACUGAUUUCAUUUCCCAUCGGUUUUUACCUCUCUGGGGGACUGUGGCUGGAUGUAGGUCUUAUAAAGCUUCUUUGCCAUAGAAACUCUGCUCCACCGUGAGGCAAUUUUCUUAUAGGUUUCACAUGCCUUCCAGAAUUUAAUGUUCUCAUCACUGUGCUCCAUUUUUAAGUAUGCUGCAUAGACUACUGGACCAUCUAAAAGUAGUAGAGAAAUCAGUUUAUUUUUAUAGUUAAAAUUAUCAGAAAGUCUGAACAAUAUUUAAAAUGCAGCUUAAAACAAAAGUCUGAAUAUAAUCUCCCUAAUUAUUUAUCAAGCUUAAAACAAAAGUCUGAAUAAAAUCUCCCUAAUUAUUUAUCAAGUGAGUGUUUCAUAUCCAUAUCUGUAUCUAUCACACUCUUAAAUCUAUACAUCUGAGGCACAUUCAAACAAUCCAGUCAUCGGUGAGGUUAUCUCUUCAUUCUGAGUCACUCAGAGGAAAUUUCUCACCACUGUGGAUGGGUCUAUGACACAUAGGACAGGAGAUGUCACAGGGACCUAGAAAAAAGGCUUAAGCUGGGCAGGUAGGAAGAGCUCUGAUCAUGAUAAGAGAAAGCUAAGAACUCAAGCCAAACCGGUGGGUAAGAGCAGAGUGUAGAUUCUAAAAAGACAGGGCAGGGUUGGAAGAAAACUAUUCAAGCCAUGUGGAAGUGAUAUUCUUAUCAGGUUGUACAGCCUGAAGUGUUUCUGAAUAGGCAGUCAGUGCAGGAGAACACAGAUGAAAAUUAAGCUUCUUAUUCAUGGUUUAUGGUUCACAUCAGAAAUAGGGACCAGGCAAGGAAUGGAAUUCAGAUAGGAUAUUGGAAACUAUCUUGGAAUCUAGUACAGGGCAGUGAUUAUGUGGAGCAUGAUCAUCAAAUGACACUUGAUGUCAAGAUAGUUAUCCUCAGGUCUGGUCUUAAACUGCCUUUCUGGAAUGAGUAUAUAAGGACAAAGGUUGCAUGAGCUUUUCUUGAUUGUGGCACUAUUUUCUAGGAACUUCUGUUUGAAGAAGACAGCUUUCAAAAAUCUAACACAUGAAUCAGAAUUUUUGGGAAGACCAAGUACUCUCAAGGUUCACCAUGAAUACUUCGAGAUUAAUAUUAAACUUCUUUUGGUGUCUAUGAAGUCUGUUGACAUGCCUGAGCAAUCAAAUUGUUAAAUGACAAAACAACAAAGUAACUUUCUUUUCUUUUUCUUUUUCUUUUUUUGAUAUGGGGAAUUGAACCCAGGGAUGCUUAACCACUGAGCCACAUUUCCAGCCCUUUUUGAGAUGGGUCUUGUUAAAUUGCCUAGGGCCUGACUAAGUUGCUGAGGCUGGCUUUGAAUUUGCAACCAUAUAUACCACAUAAAAUAUAGUUAGCAUAGAUGCUUGAUGUGACAGCUUGCAGUAUUAUUCUCAGUUUUUCCCUUCCCUUCCUGCCUCAGCCUUCAGAAUUAUCUCAUCCUCUGGGAUUACAGGCAGAUGCCACUGCACCCAGCCAAAGUAACUUUUGAUAGAAAUGUGUGUAUAGACACGCUGAAUCCAUGACCAUUUAGACCCUGACUGCUAUCAUAGGAUUCUUUUUUUUUCCUAUUACAAAAAUCUGUGCAUAAUUUAAUGUGUACAACCUGAUGUGUUUGAAGUUAAGUGUAUACCUAUGAAACUGUCACCAUAAUCAAAGCCAUAAACAUAUCCAGAAAGUGAAAAGGGAUUUUGAUUAAUAAAACAUUGGUCAGUAGCAUUAACUAUUUGAAAAGUAAGCAUAAUUAAAUGGAAUGGAAAUAAUGAGUAAUCUAAUCAUGUUUUCCUCUAAGAGCUUAGAUCAAAUUUUCUAACACGAGAAAGUCAGACUUUUUGACUUCUUGGUUUCUAAUUACUCUGUCAGAAAUGAUACAGGAAUAAAGAUAACAAAGUAAUUUGUAUUCAAGAAAAAAAAAACUCAAAUAGAGGUAUAUACCUUCUAUGGAGGCAGUAUGGUUAUGGAAAGUUGGUAAUCUGCAAGAAAUAUAACAUCCUAAUAAUACACAAACUUAGACCAUGGCUUAAUAUUGUCAUGUGAGCAUAUGCAGCCUUCCUGAAAUUGGGCAGUAAGUUAUUUGACAGGAAUAUUACCUCAAUAUGGAGGACAUAUGAGAUGGGAGCAGAGCAUAUAUAGGUAUGUGACAUAGGAAAUGACAUAGACUAGAUGUUCCUGCCGAAAGGGGGAAUAUAUUUAAACUUAGAUUUCAAACAAAAAAUUUAUUUUCAUGCUAAAGUGACUUUAAAUUGUACCUUGCCUUACCAUAGGCACAGGAAAUGGAGCAGAGAACACAUGUAGCAACUGACCCUCCUAUUAAGGAAAUAGGCGAAUGAGUGGGAAAAGCAAAACAAACAAACAAACAAAUAAAAAAAACAACCAAAAAUUUAUUUCUGGUUUAACAUGUUAAGUUCAAGCUAGUGUUUUUCAGAAUAUAUUGAAAGAAACAGCUGUAUUUAAAAAUGAAUAAGCAUAUAGUUUGUAAUAAGAGAAAGUUUGACUUAAUGCUUAGUUAGGAACAGAAAAUAAGGUCCUUAAAAUAAAAAUUAAGAAAUGAGCUAGUGAAUAGGAAAAGAAAGAGCAUAUGUGAGACAGACAGAGAGACAAACAGACACCUGGUAAAAAUCCAUAGAUCAUGGAAUGAGAGUCAGCCAUAGUUCCUAGAGUGAUAAGUGGGUGGGGUGGAAAGAUGAUCUGGAAACCCCUAUUAGAUUCCACAUUGUAAUAUUCAGAUUUGUGUUUAUGUUUUGCUUGAUUUUGUAUUAAAAUGUUUAUGGAUUGUCAUUUUAGAGCCCACCUGCAUUUACACCUGCCUUCCUCGCUUCCCUCCUGAUGGAGAAGAAUGAGUUUCUGCUUCUUUUGAGGUUUGCCUAAUGUUUCCACAAUUCUCAAGACCUUUGCUAAUGAAGUAAUCUAUGUGUUGCUCUAUAUAGUUUUUAUGUUUUCUGAGUGAUCAUUUCCAUAUAUACUAUAUAAAAUAUAGUUAGCAUAGAUGCUUGAUGUGACAGCUUGCAGUAUUAUUCUCAGUUUUUCCCUGCCCUUCCUCUAAAGGCAUUAUAUUUCCCUAUCCCAUUUACAUCUGCACUGGCCAUUGAACUUGUGCUAGUCAAUAAAAUACAUGCAAAAGUGCUGUGUGUAGUUCCGAGAGAAUGGUUUAAGAACCCUCAUGUGGUUGGUUCUGCUUCUCCCUUCCUUAUGAAGAGAAUGUAUCCUAGAAAAAAAGCUGCUCAUUUAGCCUAAAGGCUGGAAUGAGGACAGAGAAAAGAGUGAGAGCUGACCUUAGUUGCUGUGUAUCAUGAGCAAGGAAGGGACCUUUCUUACUGUAACUCAUCGGGAUUUUAAUGUCAUUUGUUACUCUAUCAUAACUUAGCAGAAGCUGACCUGGAUGACUCGAACCCAUCUGAUAUUUCAGAUGUGAUUCUGAUGCGUGGAAUGAGUAGACUUAUGUGAUUGGUAUGUUUUGCAGAAUUCUGUAUACAUUAGGUUAAUUUUUGUCUGAGUAUGCUACAUGUUAUCCAAACAAGCCGCUGAGAGUGCAUUUAUGUAAAACUGUUUCAGGAAUCAUAGUAAAUAUUAAAUUCAUACUUAAAUUACCAGUUUAGAAUUUGGUUGAUGCAUGUACCACAUGAAUCAUAAUGUAAAAAAGUCUUUCCCAAAUCAGACAAUCGAACCCAAUGUGGCCCAUUCUGAAUCUUUAAAUUACAAUCAUUCCUGAGCACUAUGCUCAGGAGACCAUGAUUCUGCUGCAGAAGAGUGAUUCAAGGCUAAGCAACAGAAUUGCUCACUUAAGUUGAGAGGGUGGCAGAAAUAGGUUUAUGGCAUAUGUGGGGUAUACCUUUUCCUUGAAGAAUCAGAGUGUUGCUUUUGGAAAUCUCUAACUUGCCCUUUUAAAAGUAGUCACUAAAAUUAGUACUCCUAUGACACACAAGAUGACACAUGACAUCGUUUCUUGAUGCAGUAGAAAAACAUGGAAUUUCUUUCUUUUUUUAAGUUGUUGAUGAACCUUUAUUUUUAUUUAUUUAUAUGUGGUGCUAAGAAUUGAACCCAGUGCCUCACACUUGCUAGGCAAGUGCUUUACCACUGAGCCACAACCCCAGCCCAUGGAAUUUCUUGACUGAAUCAGAAUGGUGGUCUAUCUUAUUCCAGGAUCAUGUUUUUCUGUAAGAUGUCAAGUCUUGUACCAUGUAUUAAGUCCUAAAAGUGAGCUAUGUCCAUUAGAAAUAUGUCCAAACCAAUUUUAAAUUCACCUUUUAAUUUUAAAUCUGUAUCACUGGAGAUAUAAUAAAUUCCAUAAUUCUACCAGAAUCUGUGUGAAGUUUUAUAGUAAAUCUUCCUGUUUUAUUAAAAUUUUCUGGUUUGGUUUCUAGGAUAUUAAUCAUUUCUAAUCUUGCUCCUACUUUUUCUUUGCUGUGUUAUUAUAAAAGUAGUUUAAAAUGCUAUGUUAUUAACACAGAAAAUAUCUAAUAAAG
rnacentral:lncRNA from 1 species